rnacentral:rRNA from 1 species
UACGGAGGGGGCUAGCGUUGUUCGGAAUUACUGGGCGUAAAGCGUACGUAGGCGGCUUUGUAAGUUAGAGGUGAAAGCCCGGAGCUCAACUCCGGAAUUGCCUUUAAGACUGCAUCGCUUGAAUCAUGGAGAGGUGAGUGGAAUUCCGAGUGUAGAGGUGAAAUUCGUAGAUAUUCGGAAGAACACCAGUGGCGAAGGCGACUCACUGGACAUGUAUUGACGCUGAGGUACGAAAGCGUGGGAGCAAACAGG